rnacentral:rRNA from 1 species
AGGGAAUCUUCCACAAUGGACGCAAGUCUGAUGGAGCAACGCCGCGUGAGUGAAGAAGGUUUUCGGAUUGUAAACUCCUGUCGUUAGGGACGAUAAUGACGGUACCUAACAAGAAAGCACCGGCUAACUACGUGCCAGCAGCCGCGGUAAAACGUAGGGUGCAAGCGUUGUCCGGAAUUACUGGGUGUAAAGGGAGCGCAGGCGGGAAGACAAGUUGGAAGUGAAAUCCAUGGGCUCAACCCAUGAACUGCUUUCAAAACUGUUUUUCUUGAGUAGUGCAGAGGUAGGCGGAAUUCCCGGUGUAGCGGUGGAAUGCGUAGAUAUCGGGAGGAACACCAGUGGCGAAGGCGGCCUACUGGGCACCAACUGACGCUGAGGCUCGAAAGUGUGGGUAGCAAACAGGAUUAGAUACCCUGGUAGUCCACACCGUAAACGAUGAUUACUAGGUGUUGGAGGAUUGACCCCUUCAGUGCCGCAGUUAACACAAUAAGUAAUCCACCUGGGGAGUACGAUCGCAAGGUUGAAACUCAAAGGAAUUGACGGGGGCCCGCACAAGCGGUGGAUUAUGUGGUUUAAUUCGAAGCAACGCGAAGAACCUUACCAGGGCUUGACAUCCUACUAACGAAGUAGAGAUACAUCAGGUGCCCUUCGGGGAAAGUAGAGACAGGUGGUGCAUGGUUGUCGUCAGCUCGUGUCGUGAGAUGUUGGGUUAAGUCCCGCAACGAGCGCAACCCCUAUUGUUAGUUGCUACGCAAGAGCACUCUAGCGAGACUGCCGUUGACAAAACGGAGGAAGGUGGGGACGACGUCAAAUCAUCAUGCCCCUUAUGUCCUGGGCUACACACGUAAUACAAUGGCGGUCAACAGAGGGAUGCAAAACCGUAAGGUGGAGCGAACCCCUAAAAGCCGUCCCAGUUCAGAUCGUGGGCUGCAACCCGCCCACGUGAAGUCGGAAUCGCUAGUAAUCGCGGAUCAGCAUGCCGCGGUGAAUACGUUCCCG